UAAUCCUGAGCUACAAAUUUUCUCCUUUAUUGAUACUUUUCAUUUUAAUAUAUGUAGCCUCUGGAUCUGUUAUGUCGGCCCCACUCCCAAAUAUCACAAUACACGAAGACAUUAUUUAAAAAUAUGAUCCACUUA